AACGCGAAGAACCUUACCUGGGCUAGAAUGCCUCUGACCGGUCUAGAGAUAGGCCUUUCCCUUCGGGGACAGAGGUGACAGGUGGUGCAUGGUUGUCGUCAGCUCGUGUCGUGAGAUGUUGGGUUAGGUCCCGCAACGAGCGCAACCCUUGUCCUUAGUUGCCAGCGAGUAAUGUCGGGAACUCUAAGGAGACUGCCGGUGACAAACCGGAGGAAGGUGGGGAUGACGUCAAGUCCUCAUGGCCCUUAUGACCUGGGCUACACACGUGCUACAAUGGAUGGUACAAAGGGCUGCGAAACUGUGAAGUCGAGCGAAUCCCAUAAAACCAUUCUCAGUUCGGAUUGCAGGCUGCAACUCGCCUGCAUGAAGCUGGAAUCGCUAGUAAUCGCGGAUCAGCAUGCCGCGGUGAAUACGUUCCCGGGUCUUGUACACACCG
rnacentral:rRNA from 1 species